rnacentral:rRNA from 1 species
AUCCUGGCUCAGGACGAACGCUGGCGGCGUGCCUAAUACAUGCAAGUGGAACGCACUUAUCUCACCGGAGCUUGCUCCACCGAGAUAAGUGAGUCGCGAACGGGUGAGUAACGCGUAGGUAACCUGCUUCAUAGCGGGGGAUAACUAUUGGAAACGAUAGCUAAUACCGCAUAACAGUAUUUACCGCAUGGUAGAUGCUUGAAAGGAGCAACUGCUUCACUAUGAGAUGGACCUGCGUUGUAUUAGCUAGUUGGU